UCUCGUCCGAGUACGAGCUGGAGGAGCACGUGUACGUCGGGGACGCAGCAAGGCCAGCACGCCAUCGGUCCCGUCUUCCCUGGUUCCUCGCCGAGCGCCACGAAGAGGAAGAGAGAAUGGUGAAGGAGAAGGGGAAUGAGAAGGGAAAGGGUGCUGGUAAGGAGAAUGGGAAGCCGAAGGGUGCUGGUAAGGAGAAUGGGAAGGCAAAGGCAAAGGAAAAGAGCUUGAAUUACCUAAUUAGGCAAGAUUCGGCGCUGCCUCCUCUAGUUCCGAGGAAGAAGAGCAAACCUAAGAUGACUACAGGAGUUCGUUAAAACCGGUUAUGGUGGAGGCAUUAGUUUGUGGUGCAAGUUAUAUCAAGGGUGCUCACGUUGACUUGAAUCUGGUGCCGAGGGAUGAGAAUGAAGAGGAUGAUGUUGAAACCAUCAAGUUACCCAUCGUGGAGGAGAUCAACGAUUGACACUCAUCAUGUGGAUGUUGAUCUUGAUCUUGCUAUUUUGGAGACGAAUGUCAAAGUGAUCUUUCUCAUGGGAAGGCUACUUUUGCAUUUGGGUUAUGUUCGAACUUGUCAAGUCAU